UCAUAGCAAAUCAUGAUUAUUCUACUUCUAACUAUUAAUUUUAGCUGUAUUCUGGUUUUAGGUUCCUCUGACAGUGAUCAAGUCGACCAGACUCCAGCAAACAUUUACACAAAUGGGGAAGAAGCAAAAAUCCACUGCUCACACAGUAUUUCAAGCUAUAACCAAAUCCUCUGGUACAAGCAGUCAGAGAAACAGCUGCAACUGCUUGGAUACAUGUAUUAUGAUAAAAGUUAUCCAGAACCGGGAGUGAAUGUAACAAUUGAUGGGGAUGCAAGGCAGCACAAGAACUGCACAUUAACGAUUAAGGAAUUUGAACUGAGCAGCAGUGGAGUGUACUUCUGUGCUGCUAGUUACCACAGUGCUGCACAUCACUG
ensembl:lncRNA